rnacentral:rRNA from 1 species
GAUGAACGCUGGCGGCGUGCCUAAUACAUGCAAGUCGAGCGAACAGACGAGGAGCUUGCUCCUCUGACGUUAGCGGCGGACGGGUGAGUAACACGUGGAUAACCUACCUAUAAGACUGGGAUAACUUCGGGAAACCGGAGCUAAUACCGGAUAAUAUAUUGAACCGCAGGGUUCAAUAGUGAAAGACGGUUUUGCUGUCACUUAUAGAUGAAUCCGCGCCGCAUUAGCUAGUUGGUAAGGUAACGGCUUACCAAGGCAACGAUGCGUAGCCGACCUGAGAGGGUGAUCGGCCACACUGGAACUGAGACACGGUCCAGACUCCUACGGGAGGCAGCAGUAGGGAAUCUUCCGCAAUGGGCGAAAGCCUGACGGAGCAACGCCGCGUGAGUGAUGAAGGUCUUCGGAUCGUAAAACUCUGUUAUUAGGGAAGAACAAAUGUGUAAGUAACUAUGCACGUCUUGACGGUACCUAAUCAGAAAGCCACGGCUAACUACGUG